rnacentral:rRNA from 1 species
GUAGGUGGCAAGCGUUGUCCGGAAUUAUUGGGCGUAAAGCGCGCGCAGGCGGUUCUUUAAGUCUGAUGUGAAAGCCCACGGCUCAACCGUGGAGGGUCAUUGGAAACUGGAGAACUUGAGUACAGAAGAGGAAAGCGGAAUUCCACGUGUAGCGGUGAAAUGCGUAGAGAUGUGGAGGAACACCAGUGGCGAAGGCGGCUUUCUGGUCUGUAACUGACGCUGAGGCGCGAAAGCGUGGGGGAGCAACCAGGAUUAGAUACCCUGGUAGCCCACGCCGUAAACGAUGAGUGCUAAGUGUUAGGGGGUUUCCGCCCCUUAGUGCUGCAGCUAACGCAUUAAGCACUCCGCCUGGGAGUACGGCCGCAAGGCUG